rnacentral:rRNA from 1 species
GUAACGCGUGGGAAUCAACCUUCUGGUACGGGACAACCUCGGGAAACUGAGGCUAAUACCGUAUAUCUCCUCAGGGAGAAAGAUUUAUCGCCAGAAGACGAGCCCGCGUCCGAUUAGCUAGUUGGUAGGGUAAUGGCCUACCAAGGCGACGAUCGGUAGCUGGUCUGAGAGGACGAUCAGCCACACUGGGACUGAGACACGGCCCAGACUCCUACGGGAGGCAGCAGUGGGGAAUAUUGGGCAAUGGGCGCAAGCCUGACCCAGCCAUGCCGCGUGAGUGACGAAGGCCUUAGGGUUGUAAAGCUCUUUCGGCGGGGACGAUGAUGACGGUACCCGCAGAAGAAGCCCCGGCUAACUUCGUGCCAGCAGCCGCGGUAAUACGAAGGGGGCGAGCGUUGUUCGGAAUCACUGGGCGUAAAGGGCACGUAGGCGGCCGUGCAAGUUGGGCGUGAAAGCCCCGGGCUCAACCCGGGAUGUGCGCUCAAGACUGCAUGGCUAGAGUUCGGAAGAGGGUGGCGGAAUUCCCAGUGUAAGGUGAAAUUCGUAGAUUUGGGAAGAACACCGGUGGCGAAGGCGGCUACCUGGUCCGAUACUGACGCU